AAAAUCCAGCACCGGCACCAGCAAGCAAUUUCUGUUCACCCAAAAAGAAAUAAAUAAAAAAUAAAUUUAAACCUCAUCCCUCAAGAGUGUCUAUAAAGACACACCUCUCUCUCAUUUACGCGUCAUUUGAUUUCUCCAUUUACACAUUUGGCGUUCCAAACGAGGUGGCUUUUAGCAUAACAGUUAGCAAGAAAUCAAAACAAGUUAGCUAAUCAUUCGUCGAAGUUCAUAGAAAAUGGCUGAUGCAGAGGAUAUUCAGCCACUCGUUUGCGAUAAUGGAACUGGAAUGGUUAAGGCAGGAUUUGCUGGUGAUGAUGCUCCCAGGGCAGUUUUCCCGAGUAUUGUGGGUAGGCCCCGGCACACUGGUGUGAUGGUUGGGAUGGGACAGAA